UUUGAAUAAUGAUCUGGACUUCAAUGAUUAAUUAAUCUCCUGGUCUCUAAUGGGAACUUUUUUGUUACUGAACUUCGUAGUUGGUUUACAUAAAAUCUGAAGUCUGUCUAACAUAUUUUACUUGAACACAGUUCGCUUCAGAAUUCUACUUUAUGUGAGCAUUACUUUCUUAGGGUAUCUGAUUUACUUGGAGGAGUAUUUAAUUACACGUAUGUGUAGUACAAGUUGUUAUUUCCAAAUAAUUUUGAUGGCCUCUAAGCAUCAUUGUUCAUGUCUAUUAUUAUUUAUGAAAGCUACAUGUCUUGGAGGGAAGUUGCGACUUGAGGGAGUGAGCUCCCAUUCUCUCAAUUUCUUGGCAUGGCCAUGCUUGCAGUACUGAUAAGGCAUGCUUCAAAAAUGGAGGGAGGACCUGAGCUGCCGCCUUGGUUCCUGUCCGCACCAGCCGCCACAAGGUUCUCAUUCUGAAAGAAACUGCAACUAUGCAAGAGCUUAUUGACGGAGAUUAUGAAAUUUGCAGUUCAAGUUCUGGACAUCAGAUUGAUACUUUACCAAAGGUGCACCAAUCGGCCCUCCGUCUCCUAGGGUGAUGGCACAAUGACAUCGACAGCGGCAGCAAUUGCGCACAGUACGGUUAAAAACUUUUUAUUUACUUGGGUCUGCUACCUCAGAUUGAUGCGCCAUGCUCGGGCAAUAAUAGUCCAAGCUUCAUCGUGUAAUAAGCUCCACCUGUGUGCACAGAGAUAUUUGCUCGAUGUUAUGCCAAUUAAUUUCAAACAGAUGGUAAACUGUGAUUUGCUCCUCAAUUU